rnacentral:rRNA from 1 species
UACGUAGGGGGCAAGCGUUGUCCGGAAUCAUUGGGCGUAAAGCGCGUGUAGGCGGCUCGGUAAGUCUGCUCUGAAAGUCCAAGGCUCAACCUUGGGAUGCGGGUGGAUACUGCCGGGCUCGAGUCCGGAAGAGGCGAGUGGAAUUCCUGGUGUAGCGGUGAAAUGCGCAGAUAUCAGGAGGAACACCGAUGGCGAAGGCAGGUCUCUGGGCUGACACUGACGCUCAUGCACGAAAGCGUGGGGAGCAAACAGG